ensembl:ncRNA T24C2.7 ncRNA
UCUAUCUCUUCCAGUCUACAUUUCGAUCAUCACUCUCCCACCACAAGUCUUCCAUUUUUUCUUAAGGAAAAAGGCAAAAAGGGUGGGAGGGAAUGGAAAACAACAAGUGGGACUUAAUAACACGCACACAUUUCUAUUUCU